UUCCAUGGUAAGGACAAUCUGAUAUGUAUCCUUGAAAAUGCUCCCAUGCUUCUGGAAUGGUUUUUCUCUUAUGUUGUUAGAAACUGACAAUAUUUCAUCUUAAGGCA
rnacentral:snoRNA from 1 species